AUACGUAGGUGGCAAGCGUUGUCCGGAAUUACUGGGUGUAAAGGGAGCGCAGGCGGGACAGCAAGUUGGAUGUGAAAUACCGCAGCUCCACUGCGGAGCUGCAUCCAAAACUGGUGUUCUUGAGUGGCGUAGAGAUAGGCGGAAUUCCGAGUGUAGCGGUGGAAUGCGUAGAUAUUCGGAGGAACACCAGUGGCGAAGGCGGCCUACUGGGCUCUUACUGACGCUGAGGCUCGAAAGUGUGGGGAGCAAACAGGAUUAGAUACCCUGGUAGUCCACACUGUAAACGAUGAUUGCUAGGUGUGGGGGGUCUGACCCCUUCCGUGCCGGAGUUAACGCAAUAAGCAAUCCACCUGGGGAGUACGGCCGCAAGGUUGAAACUUAAAGGAAUUGACGGGG
rnacentral:rRNA from 1 species